UGAUCCUAUCCUACCGUCCAUUAACUCCACACGGAUCAUGAUCCCCACAACUCUCGUACAAUCCCUACUUUUGUACAGCUUUUGUGACAUUUGAAUUUUGAAACAGUGUUUCAACAUCGAUUUGAGGAUUUGGCUCCAUCUUCUCUCUUUCUCAUGUAUAUUGAACGACUCGAUCUCCUCUCUUUCUCAGAACACCACCGACUUGAAGAUUACAUCUGGGAGAUAUGACAUCGAAUAAGUUCGUUCUUCCGAUUCAACAACCAUCAGUUUAUAGUGAAUCAAGUCUGCAAAGAUUGGUGGCUACGGAGAAGAGUUCCUGGCUGUAGAUGGUGAUUGAGGUAGGUUCCGACAGACAAACUGAGGAUUUAAUAAGGUGUGGCCGAUAUUUGAUUCUUUUCAAUCUUGUGAUUUUCGGAAGGUAAAUUGAAGCCACCAACGGGCUUGUAGCCUAGCAGCGUGAUGGUAUCAUGGUGCGCAGAUAAGUUGUUCCUCCCCUGCUUCAAUGGCUGAUGUAUCUGCGUUUCAUGCAACUUCAUUUCUUCCUGUAAAAAAGGCUGAGGCUAUAACAGAUACAGAGAGAAGAGGGUUUCUAAAAAUGUAGAGAUAGGCGUAGAGAGGCCAUGUGGUGAAAUUUGGCUCAUGAAAUGAAUGACAACAGAGUAUAGUGUUUAUGUAUGGACUGUGCUUUGCAUUGCUUUAUGUACCAUAGAUUGGUAUUCAUUAGUAAGUUUUUAUUAUUUUCAGGAAGCACCAGAUAUUGUUUAUUUUUGGUCUUACCUUUUCGGGAAAUGGAUGUUGCCAAAAUAAUAUCCGAACCCCAGUUACAGCUAUUAAUUUGUAUUGUGGUUUUUUAUUUAUUUUACUGUUUUUAUUCAUUUAUUUUAAAUCUAAAGAUAAGGGGUUGCUAUUUUGGUUACUUGAUCUAUCCCUGUUACAAGUUUCCCUCUAAUAUGUGUCCUUUACCGGGACUUGAAUAACACUCUGGUUUUGUAGGGUGCUUUCUACCUUUUUAUUGAUUUCAACCAUUACUAUGGCACACAGGUUGAUGGUUUCAAGUUGAUUAAAAACUCAGGAUGCGUGUGCUGGUAUUUGUUAGAAACGGGUCAGUUUCAGGUUGCCCUUGUGUCGAAAAUGAUGGUUAAAGCUGACAAAUACUUGGUCAUGGGAUGCUAUGAUAAUGAUGGUCUUGUGAGCUCUCCAAGAACACCAACACAUGAAUAACAGCUUACAGUAGACUCAGCUGGUAACGGGUUUGGCCACAUUGUUUUCUAUAUUGCACUUGUUAUUUGGAUUGCCCUUCCUUGUUCUUUCACUAUCUACAGGUCUUAGGGCUAUUCGUGAAGUGGUUGGGUAGUACAAAGAAAAUACAAAGAUUAUAGCGGAUACAUUUACCUCACUAGGUUUCAAAGUAUAUGGCGGAAUGCAUGCCCCAUAUGUGUGGGUCCACUUCCCUGGUCGAAAUUCGUGGGACGUCUUCAGUGAUAUUCUUGAGAAAAGUCAUGUUGUGACCACACUUGGGAGUGGGUUCGGACCUGCUGGUGAAGGGUUCGUUAGGGUCAGCGCCUUUCGCCCCAGGAGCAUCGUGUUGGAAGCCUGUAGGAGAUUCAAGGAGCUAAGAAAAUGAAUCCGUUUUCAUAUUAAAUUAAUUAAUUCUUCAAUCAACCUGCUUGUUUGUUGGAGGAAUUUAACCUGCUUGUUUUUUUUUUCGAUCCACCAAUUCCCCCUUGAAUGCUGUCA